rnacentral:rRNA from 1 species
UACGUAGGGUGCAAGCGUUGUCCGGAAUUAUUGGGCGUAAAGAGCUCGUAGGCGGCUUGUCACGUCGGCUGUGAAAACCCGGGGCUCAACCCCGGGCCUGCAGUCGAUACGGGCAGGCUAGAGUCCGGUAGGGGAGACUGGAAUUCCUGGUGUAGCGGUGAAAUGCGCAGAUAUCAGGAGGAACACCGGUGGCGAAGGCGGGUCUCUGGGCAGGAACUGACGCUAAGGAGCGAAAGCGUGGGGAGCGAACAGG